GGAUAUCUAGUCAGGCUGUCCACAUUAUCCAUUUAUCAAUUCACAUAACCUUUUUGCCAUUUUCCUUGGUCUCAAUCAUCCAAUCAUACACAAACAUGUAAACCAGUAAUUGACACCAAACAAGACAAUACAAUAUCGGGUUCACCAUAAUACAAACCAUAAUAAAAGAAACCAUAAUUCAUGCAUACGAGACCAUAAAAUAAUUACAUCAAACAUCAUACUGCAUUUAAUACUGAAAA
rnacentral:lncRNA from 1 species